UGGCAAUGACGAUACAACUAAGGCUUGUUUCUCAAAACAUUCGCAGAUGCCGCCCAAGAGCUUUCGCCCUGCCAGGCUUGAGAGCUAAUGCUGCUAAUUCCUUCCUUGGAUGUCUGAGCCA
rnacentral:snoRNA from 2 species